CAGUCGCCACGGGAAUACGUAGGGUGCGAGCGUUAAUCGGAAUUACUGGGCGUAAAGCGUGCGCAGGCGGUUCGUUAAGACAGAUGUGAAAUCCCCGGGCUUAACCUGGGAACUGCAUUUGUGACUGGCGAGCUAGAGUAUGGCAGAGGGGGGUAGAAUUCCACGUGUAGCAGUGAAAUGCAUAGAGAUGUGAAGGAAUACCGAUGGCGAAGGCAGCCCCCUGGGCCAAUACUGACGCUCAUGCACGAAAGCGUGGGGAGCAAACAGGAUUUGAUACCCCCGUAGUCCCUGUCUCUUAUAC
rnacentral:rRNA from 1 species